rnacentral:sRNA from 16 species
CCUGCGGUGGACGAAAGUCCUAAAUGGGUUGUUGUGCGGCGUGAACAUGCUGCACGAGAACGACUUUACGUUCUCCCCCCUGAGCGAAGUGCAUUGGCACGACGCUCCCUGUGAGCCACGCCCCCGAAAGGGGCGUGGCAGCAGGUUU